GCCUGUAGUCCUAGCUACUCGGGAGGCUGAGGCAGGAGGAUCCUUGAGUCCAGGAGUUCUGGGCUGCAGUGCGCUAUGCCGAUUGGGUGUCCGCACUAAGUUCGGCAUCAACAUGGUGACCUCCCGGGAGCAGGGGACCACCAGGUUGCCUAAGGAGGGGUGAACUGGCCCAGGUCGGAAACGGAGCAGGUCAAAACUCCGGUGCUGAUCAGUAAAUUCUUUUCUGGCAGUUAAACCUACUUUCAGUUCUAGGGACAUGUAAACCUAGUCAACUUCU
rnacentral:SRP_RNA from 1 species